UACGUAGGGGGCGAGCGUUAUCCGGAAUUAUUGGGCGUAAAGAGUGCGUAGGUGGUUUUUUAAGCGUGGGGUGAAAGGCAAUGGCUCAACCAUUGUAAGCCUUGCGAACUGGAAGACUUGAGUGCAGGAGAGGAAAGCGGAAUUCCUAGUGUAGCGGUGAAAUGCGUAGAUAUUAGGAGGAACACCAGUGGCGAAGGCGGCUUUCUGGACUGUAACUGACACUGAGGCACGAAAGCGUGGGGAGC
rnacentral:rRNA from 1 species